CGGCGAUGUCCGAAUGGGGAAACCCAGUGCAAUUCGUUGCACUAUCGUUAACUGAAUACAUAGGUUAACGAGGCGAACCGGGGGAACUGAAACAUCUAAGUACCCCGAGGAAAAGAAAUCAACCGAGAUUCCCCCAGUAGCGGCGAGCGAACGGGGAGCAGCCCAGAGUCUGAAUCAGCUUGUGUGUUAGUGGAACGGUCUGGAAAGUCCGACGGUACAGGGUGAUAGUCCCGUACACCAAAAUGCACAGGCUGUGAACUCGAAGAGUAGGGCGGGACACGUGGUAUCCUGUCUGAAUAUGGGGGGACCAUCCUCCAAGGCUAAAUACUCCUGACUGACCGAUAGUGAACCAGUACCGUGAGGGAAAGGCGAAAAGAACCCCGGCGAGGGGAGUGAAAAAGAACCUGAAACCGUGUACGUACAAGCAGUGGGAGCACCUUCGGGUGUGACUGCGUACCUUUUGUAUAAUGGGUCAGCGACUUAUAUUCUGUAGCAAGGUUAACCGUAUAGGGGAGCCGCAGGGAAACCGAGUCUUAACUGGGCGUUAAGUUGCAGGGUAUAGACCCGAAACCCGGUGAUCUAGCCAUGGGCAGGUUGAAGGUUGGGUAACACUAACUGGAGGACCGAACCGACUAAUGUUGAAAAAUUAGCGGAUGACUUGUGGCUGGGGGUGAAAGGCCAAUCAAACCGGGAGAUAGCUGGUUCUCCCCGAAAGCUAUUUAGGUAGCGCCUCGUGAAUUCAUCUUCGGGGGUAGAGCACUGUUUCGGCUAGGGGGUCAUCCCGACUUACCAACCCGAUGCAAACUACGAAUACCGAAGAAUGUUAUCACGGGAGACACACGGCGGGUGCUAACGUCCGUCGUGAAGAGGGAAACAACCCAGACCGCCAGCUAAGGUCCCAAAGUCAUGGUUAAGUGGGAAACGAUGUGGGAAGGCACAGACAGCCAGGAUGUUGGCUUAGAAGCAGCCAUCAUUUAAAGAAAGCGUAAUAGCUCACUGGUCGAGUCGGCCUGCGCGGAAGAUGUAACGGGGCUAAACCAUGCACCGAAGCUGCGGCAGCGACACUAUGUGUUGUUGGGUAGGGGAGCGUUCUGUAAGCCUGCGAAGGUGACCUGUGAGGGUUGCUGGAGGUAUCAGAAGUGCGAAUGCUGACAUAAGUAACGAUAAAGCGGGUGAAAAGCCCGCUCGCCGGAAGACCAAGGGUUCCUGUCCAACGUUAAUCGGGGCAGGGUGAGUCGACCCCUAAGGCGAGGCCGAAAGGCGUAGUCGAUGGGAAACAGGUUAAUAUUCCUGUACUUGGUGUUACUGCGAAGGGGGGACGGAGAAGGCUAUGUUAGCCGGGCGACGGUUGUCCCGGUUUAAGCAUGUAGGCUGGUUAUCCAGGCAAAUCCGGAUAAUCAAGGCUGAGGUGUGAUGACGAGGCACUACGGUGCUGAAGUAACAAAUGCCCUGCUUCCAGGAAAAGCCUCUAAGCAUCAGGUAACAUCAAAUCGUACCCCAAACCGACACAGGUGGUCAGGUAGAGAAUACCAAGGCGCUUGAGAGAACUCGGGUGAAGGAACUAGGCAAAAUGGUGCCGUAACUUCGGGAGAAGGCACGCUGGUGUGUAGGUGAAGUCCCUGCGGAUGGAGCUGAGACCAGUCGAAGAUACCAGCUGGCUGCAACUGUUUAUUAAAAACACAGCACUGUGCAAACACGAAAGUGGACGUAUACGGUGUGACGCCUGCCCGGUGCCGGAAGGUUAAUUGAUGGGGUUAUCCGUAAGGAGAAGCUCUUGAUCGAAGCCCCGGUAAACGGCGGCCGUAACUAUAACGGUCCUAAGGUAGCGAAAUUCCUUGUCGGGUAAGUUCCGACCUGCACGAAUGGCGUAAUGAUGGCCAGGCUGUCUCCACCCGAGACUCAGUGAAAUUGAACUCGCUGUGAAGAUGCAGUGUACCCGCGGCAAGACGGAAAGACCCCGUGAACCUUUACUAUAGCUUGACACUGAACAUUGAGCCUUGAUGUGUAGGAUAGGUGGGAGGCUUUGAAGCGUGGACGCCAGUCUGCGUGGAGCCAACCUUGAAAUACCACCCUUUAAUGUUUGAUGUUCUAACGUUGGCCCCUUACCGGGGUUGCGGACAGUGUCUGGUGGGUAGUUUGACUGGGGCGGUCUCCUCCCAAAGCGUAACGGAGGAGCACGAAGGUUAGCUAAUCCUGGUCGGACAUCAGGAGGUUAGUGCAAUGGCAUAAGCUAGCUUGACUGCGAGCGUGACGGCGCGAGCAGGUGCGAAAGCAGGUCAUAGUGAUCCGGUGGUUCUGAAUGGAAGGGCCAUCGCUCAACGGAUAAAAGGUACUCCGGGGAUAACAGGCUGAUACCGCCCAAGAGUUCAUAUCGACGGCGGUGUUUGGCACCUCGAUGUCGGCUCAUCACAUCCUGGGGCUGAAGUAGGUCCCAAGGGUAUGGCUGUUCGCCAUUUAAAGUGGUACGCGAGCUGGGUUUAGAACGUCGUGAGACAGUUCGGUCCCUAUCUGCCGUGGGCGCUGGAGAAUUGAGGGGGGCUGCUCCUAGUACGAGAGGACCGGAGUGGACGCAUCACUGGUGUUCGGGUUGUCAUGCCAAUGGCACUGCCCGGUAGCUAAAUGCGGAAGAGAUAAGUGCUGAAAGCAUCUAAGCACGAAACUUGCCCCGAGAUGAGUUCUCCCUGAGACUUUAAGUCUCCUGAAGGAACGUU
rnacentral:rRNA from 1 species